CCUACGGGCGGCAGCAGUGGGGCAUAUUGGGCAAUGGGCGCAAGCCUGACCCAGCAACGCCGCGUGAAGGAAGAAGGCUUUCGGGUUGUAAACUUCUUUUGUCAGGGACGAAGCAAGUGACGGUACCUGACGAAUAAGCCACGGCUAACUACGUGCCAGCAGCCGCGGUAAUACGUAGGUGGCAAGCGUUAUCCGGAUUUACUGGGUGUAAAGGGCGUGUAGGCGGGACUGCAAGGCAGAUGUGAAACACACGGGCUCAACCUGUGGCCUGCAUUUGACACUGUAGUUCUUGAGUACUGGAGAGGCAGACGGAAUUCCUAGUGUAGCGGUGAAAUGCGGAGAUAUUAGGAGGAAAACCAGUGGCGAAGGCGGUCUGCUGGACAGCAACUGACGCUGAGGCGCGAAAGCGUGGGGAGCAAACAGGAUUAGAUACCCCUGUAGUC
rnacentral:rRNA from 1 species